rnacentral:rRNA from 1 species
GAGACAGUCAAUAAGCGGAGGAAAAGAAACUAACAAGGAUUCCCCUAGUAGCGGCGAGCGAAGCGGGAAGAGCUCAAAUUUAUAAUCUGGCACCUUCGGUGUCCGAGUUGUAAUCUCUAGAAAUGUUUUCCGCGUUGGACCGCACACAAGUCUGUUGGAAUACAGCGGCAUAGUGGUGAGACCCCCGUAUAUGGUGCGGACGCCCAGCGCUUUGUGAUACAUUUUCGAAGAGUCGAGUUGUUUGGGAAUGCAGCUCAAAUUGGGUGGUAAAUUCCAUCUAAAGCUAAAUAUUGGCGAGAGACCGAUAGCGAACAAGUACCGUGAGGGAAAGAUGAAAAGCACUUUGGAAAGAGAGUUAACAGUACGUGAAAUUGUUGGAAGGGAAACGCUUGAAGUCAGACUUGCUUGCUGAGCAAUCGGUUUGCAGGCCAGCAUCAGUUUUCCGGGAUGGAUAAUGGUAGAGAGAAGGUAGCAGUUUCGGCUGUGUUAUAGCUCUCUGCUGGAUACAUCUUGGGGGACUGAGGAACGCAGUGUGCCUUUGGCGGGGGUUUCGACCUCUUCACACUUAGGAUGCUGGUGGAAUGGCUUUAAACGACCCGUCUUGAAACAC